AAAUUAAUGUUAUAUUUCAGGAAAAAUCAGGGAAUUUGAUUUUGAAACUCAAGAUAAAACUGAAAAUACUUUGUGUUGUACCAUUUAAUAGGUUUAUCAAUCGGAUAAUUUGUUGAAUGUUGAUCAAAUAUUGUAUUCCGCUAUUGAAAUGUUGAAUGUGAAAUCAGGGUAAUGUAUCUGAAGGCUGCUAUACGUUCGAUAAAUAGGUUCGACUGUAAUUGUGUAAACCGUCCAAAUCAAAACGUGUAUGGUAUAUUCACUUAUUUUAAACAUGUGUUCAUAGUAAUACGUAUAUCAUAAAAAUUAAUGUUUACCCAAUGAGUCCUCAUAUAUAAGACCAAAGAGAAAUUGGUGGUCAAAGGAAAGGUUACUAACAGGUAUAGUCGAAUUUAGGGGCAGAGGGGUGUUCAAGGGAGACAUGGCUUCCGGGCACCCACACUCUGGGGGCCACAAAAGUUUAUUGCUCAUCAUGACUCAUAACUGAUCACAAAUAAUUGAAAACACAACAAAAGUCGCAAAAUUCGUGAAAACUAACACAAACCUUUCUCAAACGUAUGUUUUUGUAUAACAUAUUCCUUUAUUGAAAUGUCGAUAACUUGAAAACGUGGCUCUAACAAGUUUCUUGACCCCGGGCCACCACAAUCCUAAAUCUGGCCUUGCUACAGGUUUCAUGAUGUUUCAUCCCUUUUUAAGCAAUCAAGAGCCAUUUGAAAGCGAUUCCGACGGGUAAGGAAGAGAACGUGCUCAGGUUUGGAUUCAUGAGUUUGAGAUGACUUUAAGACAGGGGCGUAGCUAUGCACUAUGGUUGGAAUCGUGAAAUUUCAUGACAAAAAUCUGUAAGUCGGAAACCAUAGAUGCUAGAGAUUUCUUGUCUUCUAGAAAGUUACUCUACUAAGAGGAAUCUAUUUUUUGGUAUGACUGGUUACAAGGGUGGUCCUAUUGUACUCAUAAAAAAAAUUGUAACUUUUUUAUCUUACUACUUAGAGCAACAUUGUCUUGCACAAAAUUGUAGCUAAUUUAAUUUCAUGCUACAUAAUCUUGUGUUCGUCACCUGUAGGCACGUUGAGCGUUUUUUUCUUUAUCGUUUUGUUUUGAUCCGUGAAGAGAUAUUUGCUGUGUGAUGCUUUUCUUAAUUUGUUGCGCACCAAGCUAAAUCAAAGCACCUAGCCCGAGUGCGUGUGGGCUAUGGAGCUAGAGCUACAAUUAAGCUCUGCUUGAGAUGCUGUGCGUAGUUUACCAAGUUUGAUUAGGAAUUUUGUAACAUUUUUUUAAAUAUAACCUCGUUUUUUCAAUAAAGAUUGAUGAUUAUGCUUCCUGGAACGACGGAAAGUAUCAAAAUAGUGUCUUGAUUAUAUUUCACUGUAUUUUCUGGCUGAAGGCUCAAAAAUAUAAAGCAAUUUAAACCUCAUAUUACAGGAAAUAUUUACCAGUACGCAUGCUUUCUAUAAAGGAAAUAAACAAAUCCGAGUAAUUGCAACUGUUGCAGGUAAAAAAAAACUCACGGCAUGUGCUUUUGAAACUAUUAAACAGAACAUUAUUUUGCUGCUUCAUUACAUUAAAUUUCAUUUCAUUGAAAUCAUGACAUUUAAUUUCAAAAACAACACAAAUAUGUAACUUUAGAAAAACACCAACGAAGAGAUAUCAGCUCUGUGGUUAUUUUUUCUAAUAAUUUUUAGAUAAAACCCUUCAAAACACAAAUAAAUCAAAUUUUUGAGCAAGAACUGAAAUUUUCAUUGCGAAGCGGGAUUUACCACGAAAAUUUACAUUAAAAAAGAUACUUGAUAUCUUAUCGGGGAGCUGAGAUAUUGGCAUUUUUCUAUGGAUGAAAAACUAUGCAUUUUAACAAAUAUGUUAAAUAACUGUUUUAUUUUGGGAGAUAAAAAAUAACAAUGUUCAGGAAACAAAUGCAUUUUUGGAUGGCUGAUAACUUAGUAGAAGGUUUCAAAAUUUGGAAAAAUAUGCGAAAAAAGUUAGAACGAAAAUUGUGAUUAUUAGUACCUUCUAAUAAAAAACUCAAUGUUGCUCGUAAUAUGUAAGAGAUAGAAACAUGAUGUAUUCGGUAAAGUUUCUUGUUUUAAGAUAACUUGAAACUUUGUCGAAGACACCUUGCGUCUAUCUUAUUCUGAUUAAAAAGUAAAUUUUUAUCUCACUUAUUGGUGGAUUGAUCACCCUUCAUUCUACAUUAAAAGAUGCAUUUUUGAAUAUCCUGAAACUUCUCCGAACAUUCCUCAUGGCUAUAAUCAACUUUUGAAUCACUAUUUAGAAAAUUAUACGCACAAACGGCAAAAUAAAACACUGUGCAAUGAAGAUAUUGAGCUUUAGUGGCAUUUUUGACAAAAUGCAUAGUUUUCCAUCACAUGUAAAAACGCCGAUAUCUCAGCCCCCCGAUAAGAUAUCAAGGAUCUUUUUUCAUGCAAAUUUUCGUCUUGAACUCCGCUUUGCAUUAAAAAUUUCAGUUCUUGAUAAAAAAAGUUUUAUAUGUGUUUUGAAGGGUUUUAUCUGAAAAUUAUAAAGAAAAUUCACUUUUUUGUGAUGUUCAGUGGGCUCUGUGAGUCAAAUAAUUGAAUGCGAUGCUGAACCAAACCAUGCAAAAUAUUCAAAAACAACCCCACAAAAAUAAAAAAAAUAUAUGGAAAAAUUUAGGAAUUGAACAGAUUUGAAAAAUAAAUGCAAAAGAGUGGUUUUGUAGCUUGAAAAAGUCAUUUUUUCUAAAUCACUUUUGGGCAACCUGAAAACGACCUUCUAGAAAGUCGAAAUGUUCUACAAAAACGCUAUAAAUAACAUUAUCUUUCAAUUUAGGGAUGAGCAGCUUGACUUCGAUUUUUUUUUUGGGACAGCCUAGUGUCCAGUUUCCGGAGAAGUAGACGUACCUUCGCCGCAUCAUUCAGCUGGCCUGCAUCGUUCUCGAAGAGCUUCUGGUAGCGGUUAAACCAGCGUCCGAACGUAACUCCGUUUUCUUCGUAGAAGACAAACUCGGUGAUGUUCGAUGAGAGGAACUCCAAAAUCUGCUCCGGGAUUUGAUACUGAGGCUGCUGCUGCUGGGUCGCCAUCUGCUGUAAAAGUUGGGCCAUCUUGAGAAUCAUAUCUUGAAUUCCCGGUUGCGGCUGCUGAUCAACUCUAUCUUCUGCCAUGUUCGUGGAUUCUUGAGAUAAUCGUCGCCAAAAUGAUAUGUCCAAUGGUUUAAGGAGUUUUUACUAAAAAACAUUUAUUUAUAUUCGAGGUUGGACAUAACAACUUUUCCACUCUGAUGUCAACUCUGGAACAACUUUUCACUGGUCUACUUGUCCUAUUGUGAACCCCUGUCCACAAAACGUUUAUUACACCCGAGUCCUUCAAAGGAAAAAGGAGAUGGAAAAGCAGCUUGAAUAUUAUAGGACACAAACAGCGUUGGCGGACGUGAAACUGAAUCCUGUUUUCAAGUCACAAGAUCCAGAUUGCCAACCGAAAUACGAAAAAUUUAUGGAAAAUUCCGACUUUAUGAUUACUGAUGAAAACGCCGGCAAACCAAUCGACAGCGAACACCCAGCAAUUUUUGGAAAUAAAUUAUACAACUUCGUGCCAAAAACUAUGGAAGAUUCAGAUCAAUCUACAAUAAUCGGGAAGGAAACCAUUUUUCAGUUGGAACAGUCUGGUUACGAUGACAAAUAUAAUUGUUAAAUGUAUUAACAGUGUAUAUCGAAUUUAUAUUUAUGUAUAUCUGUUUAUUAUUACUGUCGAAAGGUUUCAAAUUAAAUUACAUACGGUCGGCAACCAUCAGUUAACUCUCUCGAUACCUGCUAUUUAAUGGAAUGAAACUCGUAUGGAUGUGUUUUUUUUUUGUGUGGAAAAGCGUCGUUCAUGUAUAGUUAACAGGACCUGAACGUUGUUAAUAAAUUUCAAUAAGAACA